UGCUUAGAAGACAUAUUGACCAUUGGUGACAAUCAGUUAGGACAGUCCAUAUAUCACCUCCAGUUCAUGAAGAUCAUAAUGCAGCACAGGCAUGUCUGGGCAUUAGCAACAAACGAAAAGAGGAAAGGGACAUGAAGGUGUAUGACCACAAAUGUCUGUGUGAUACAAAGGAAUUUCUGAAGCUGAAAAAAACCUUGAGAUUUACCAAUGGAGCAUUUCUUCAUUUACAAAGUUGCAAGUACAAAUAGGACACAGCCCACUGGCCACAGAAGUAUCCAAUGCCUCUCAUGUUCUGGGAGAUA